UACGUAGGGUGCGAGCGUUGUCCGGAAUUAUUGGGCGUAAAGAGCUUGUAGGCGGUCUGUCGCGUCUGCUGUGAAAAUCCGGGGCUCAACCCCGGACUUGCAGUGGGUACGGGCAGACUAGAGUGUGGUAGGGGGGACUGGAAUUCCUGGUGUAGCGGUGAAAUGCGCAGAUAUCAGGAGGAACACCGGUGGCGAAGGCGGGUCUCUGGGCCGAUACUGACGCUGAGGAGCGAAAGCGUGGGGAGCGAACAGG
rnacentral:rRNA from 1 species